UGCGAGAUUGUCUGCCUUCUUCAUGAUUGACUAGGUACCACACGGGCGGCGGCGGCUACAUUGGCAGUUUCUCUCCUCCCUGAGCGCUGCAGAGGUAAAAUGAAAUCUGAACUACAGUACACAGCUAACAAAAUCUUUUACUACCCAGUUGCAAAAAAAUGGACCCAAUCCUCCACUGCCGACACGGAAAAGGAAAUGGCAGAUUUGGCAGGCAACAUGUGUGGUCUUGGUCUCUCUCUCUUUGGGCGCUUCCAUAUGACCUGCUUAUUGAGGAUUCAUCCCGAUUCGUUUGCGGGGAAAACACUGAGUAUGUUUCCCUCUGAAGAAAGCAUUAUCUCACACUUCCCAGUGCAUUUCCCCAUCCAUUCUUUUGGGUUAGUGGGUUUAUUGCACAGUCCUUCCCAAUUAACUCUAAUUGUGCAACCUGAAUUUAAUCCCGUAAUCUGAAUUUGCUGGCAAGAGUUUGAAUCCCACCUGAAAAGCCGGAGCCGGAGCCCAUUAGCGACUAAAGGGUCAGAAGAAUGUCCUCGUCCUCAAGGAAAAUUGCUAAGGGACCCCUAUAAUUUGGAACCGACCCUUCCAAUCACAAACUGGGAAGCUGACUGAAUCAAAGCUAAGAACUUGGUGGGGGAAGCAAGUUUGGCCGAGCGAAUAUUCCUGCAGGAAUAUUCUCCUUCCUUCCUGAUGGAAAUCGCUCCCAUUCAACACCAAGCAGCCGAGCGUACCAGCAAAGGCGGGAACAAUCGUGGGUGAAUCCCACCGCAUCAACACCCCCACCCCCGCUCUUUACCGGGCCCCAGACAUUGCUUCCCACGGCCUGCAAAACGACGCCGUGGUGCUUAGGCCUUGGUCGACUCCCGGUCUCCAUAGAAACGCCUUGGAGCAUCAUGGGACUUGUAGUUCUUUGGCAACUGCUGCGACGUUCGGGGCGGAAUGGCAUUUUCAAGAUCGAUAUGCGCAAACUUGUCCGUGUGUAGGUGUGUGCGAAGUGAAAAGUGCUUUGUUACUUGUAGCCCAGAUCAGAAAUCCAGACUUUAUGUACGGAAAAGUUCUCAAUUUUAAGACUUCUUAAAUUUUGCACAUACUGUAUUCGGAUAUUUACCUCUGCUUUAUUGUGGCUGAACUUUUUUUUCCUAUUCGAGUUGAAAACAUUUAACUAGGAAAGAAGACAUUAAGGUUAAGAACUAAGGAUACAUCAGUUGCGCAGCAAUCAUGCUGUGAGCAUGAUUGAUCAAAAUAAAAUGAAGAAAAAGAAAAGUGAGAAAGUCUUACUUUUGCUGCAAAUAAUUUGGCACCAAAGAAAGGCCACUUUCGAGCAACAGCAAGGUUGCUGCUCUUUGGAUGCCUGUUCCCAUCUGGAAAUAAUGUCACAGAUCUACAAGGAAGAUCAUGAAGCAGAACACAUUUAUGGCAAAACAUAUGCCACAACAGAAUUGGUAAAAGUCUUAAGAUGUAAUCCUAUGCAAACCUAUUUGGGAGUGAACUCCACUGAACUUAGUAGGACAUUAGUAAACAUGGAUAGGGUUGGAUUGUUUAGCUAGCCUAGGAACAUCUGCCUGGAGGUGUCACUGAAAUCAAUGCGACUUAUGAACAUUUUGUUAUCAGAGUGGUUUGGCUGUAACUGAAAAAUAUUUUCAUGGCAAUUAUACCACUCAGCUAUUGCAGAGCUUACCCCAAGAAUUUGCGCUGUUGCAUGGAAAGUAUUGACGACAGCACAGUAUCCUCCUGUGGAGGUGUGGACAGUGGUGUGGAACUUCCCUACUUCCUGUUUAGCAACAGAGUGGAGAAUCAUAUGGGAAGCUGUCCUAACACCAUCACCAUGAACCACAAGGCCACCAAAAUAUUCACAUAAAUACUUUUCAGGUUUCCACAGUCUUCCCAUAGUUAUCUUUAAUGAGCUUUAUUAAACUACC